UACGGAGGGGGCUAGCGUUGUUCGGAAUUACUGGGCGUAAAGGGCGCGCAGGCGGCUGCUCAAGUCAGGCGUGAAAGGCCUGGGCUCAACCCGGGAAUUGCGCUUGAGACUGGGCUGGCUUGAGUGCGGGAGAGGAUGGUGGAAUUCCCAGUGUAGAGGUGAAAUUCGUAGAUAUCUGGAGGAACACCGGUGGCGAAGGCGGCAUCCUGGACCGACACUGACACUGAGGAGCGAAAGCCAGGGGAGCAAACGGG
rnacentral:rRNA from 1 species